rnacentral:tRNA from 1 species
AUGUGACAGAUUAAUGUUUUAAAAUUAAGAUUUAACUAUGAAGUAACUCCUUUAGUA